rnacentral:lncRNA from 1 species
GUCGCCACUUGGUAUGGUCAGAGGAUCACUGAAGUAAGCGCUACACACAAAUCACCCCCAAAGUCGUGUUUUAAAUGCACCUGUAUUUGCUUAAACGAAAACGUCAGAAGUAUUUGUCCUACAAGCAGUCUGAGUGGUUUGUCCCGCAGCUGGUCUGGUGACGCUGGCCCUCGCGGAUGUCUGCGUGUCGCUCACAUGUGAAUGAGUGAGGUAAUUGGAUAUGAGGCCUUCUUUCUUAUCUUCGCUUCUUUGUUUAUCGGUCCGUGUGUUUGUUUUGUUUUGUUUUUGUUUGUUUUCUUCUUUGCUUAUUCGUUUUUGUUCUUUUGUUCCUUUUGGACACUUUGCGUCUCUUUUCUGCGUAGACCCAGAACAAGUGGGUCAUAUUUUAGGGGAACUUGGAACAUUGUGUGUGUCUGUUCAUUCAUUCGUUUGUUUUGUUUUCCUCGGAAUUUUCAGCCGGGCUUUAGUCUACUUCAGGAUGAGGGACUUCUCGCUUGGACAGUAGCAUUUGAACUCAAAAAAUGUGAGCUUUCUUGCCACUUGGUCUCCUAAAGCAGCCCAGCCGCAGUGCCCCUGUUAGGUCUUCAUCUCCUUAGGAGAGGAGAUAACAGUUACUCCUGCUGAGCCAUUCAGACAAGGAAUGGCAGCAGAUUAUUUUGUUACCUCUUUCCCAUCUCAUUCUGUCUUAAAAACUGGAUGUUGCUGCUACUGUCUGCAAGCUCUGGGUAUUGCUCCACGGGAAGCACGUAAUAUCCCUCGUACCCUUGCACGCGCCCGGUGCUCAGAAGCUGCUGCUUCUCGCCCUCAGUCCACAGGCGGCUCCCCUCUCUCCCGUCCCUGGCUUUCUGCUGCUCCUUGGCCCAGGCCGUGCCCAGGGCCCUCUGUCUCGCCUGGUCCAGGACGCGGGCCUUCUCUUCGUCCAGGGUGUCGGGGGUGAGGCCAUAGCGGAUGCUGAGCAGCAGCGUGGAGUACUGGAACUCAAUGUUCGUGAACCUUCGAGUCCUGCCGUUGACCAGCAGCGUGGGCUGCGACACGGUCACGUUCACCCCGCUCUCCAGCACCUUGCGGCCGAUGGUGGUGCCUAGUGUGACCAGGUCGCCAUCGGCUGAGCCAAUCUUCACAAAGUAGUGGGUGUCCUUGCCCUCGAUGCUGUAGUGCAUCUUGUCCAGGUAGUAGGCGUUGUUCAGCACAGAUGCCACCUUGCGGCUAUCUUCGCUGGCGAUGCUGGACACGCCCGUGGUCACCCGCCCUUCUUUGAUGGCAAACAUGAUGCCUUUGCCAAUGAUGGGCGUGGUGGUGGCAAACCAGUGACCUGCUUUCUCUCGGAUGCUGGCGUGGAGCUUUUUAGUAAUGACCUGUCCUUCCAGAGCCAUGAAGGCCUGGUUAUGUCUCUCUGUUGUCUGUUGGACACCUGUAAUGAGCUGUGG